rnacentral:rRNA from 1 species
UACGUAGGGUGCGAGCGUUGUCCGGAAUUACUGGGCGUAAAGAGCUCGUAGGUGGUUUGUCGCGUUGUCCGUGAAAACUCACAACUCAAUUGUGGGCGUGCGGGCGAUACGGGCAGACUGGAGUACUGCAGGGGAGACUGGAAUUCCUGGUGUAGCGGUGGAAUGCGCAGAUAUCAGGAGGAACACCGGUGGCGAAGGCGGCAUCCUGGACCGGCAUUGACGCUGAACAGCGAAAGCCAGGGGAGCAAACGGG